rnacentral:rRNA from 1 species
UAUGGUGGUUUUGCCGAGGGUGUUCACCUCUUCCCAUUCCGAACAGAGAAGUUAAGCCCCUCAUGGCCAAUGGUACUGCACUAUCAUGCGGGAGAGUAGGUAGCUGCCAUAUUUAUU